GCGGGUAUAGCUCAGCGGUAGAGCAUCUCGUUGCCAACGAGAAUGUCGCGCGUUCCGAAUCGCGUUACCCGCC
rnacentral:tRNA from 1 species